CUUGGCAGCUCCGCCCCUAACAUUUGUGAAGAUGAGCUGCCACUAACAUAGAUGUAAAACAAGCGCACCUUCUUACAUACGUCACAUACUGCAUGUGCAACGUCAUACGCCCUCGCGGAGAAGAGAGGUAGCGGCAUGGGCACGGUGACAGACAGCAGCGGGCAGGCAACACAUGGCUCCCAGCAGACAACGCCGGGCCCUCACAUCAUUAACACCUUCCGCUGCUCUCCGCCGGGACCCCCCGAGCGACCGGGGCCCCCCGUGCAAAGAGGGAAGACGGGGACCGAGGACGUAAAGGCUGAAGAUGCGACAGGCUUGGAGCCAGCAUGCAGGUAAACAAACGUGCGGAGGAAACUAUAACCCACGUCAAUGGUCGCCAGAAGACGACAAAAGGAGGGAGAGGCAAUCAGAAGUCCCAGUGGACAUAUUGAAGAAGAAUGGAUUUUAGCUACAGCAGCUCUCAUUUGUAUGUUAAUUUACACAAUUAACACAAAACACAAACGGGGGUCAAAGAAAAUAAAUAGCUACGUUUU